rnacentral:lncRNA from 1 species
GUGACAGGCGGAGAAACUGAGUGUCAGAGAAAGUCUGAGCCCCGCGCCAGGUCACGGGGAGCCCGGCGGGCUACAGCCCCUGGCAGGUGCAGAGGGGCUCCCAGCAGCGGGUCCCUGGGGCCCGACUUGGGCUGGUGAUGGGAGAUUCCAGAUCUCCCGCCAUGGAGCGCUCUGCCCACCCCGAAGGAAGCCGGCCUGGCCCAUGAUGCCUCAGGAUUGGGCUGUGUCCCCUCCGGGCAGUGCACCCCUCCCCCUUUUGGAUCAGCAUCCCAGGCUCCUGGUUCAAGACUCCGGACAGCGCCUCCUCUUCCCCUUGCCAGAGUCUCCCAGAUUGCCCAAGUUCUGGGCCGAGGGCCCUGGGGCAGCCUGUGGCCUCUCCCGCCCAGAAGGUUGAUAUGGAGGCAAAUGCAGCUUCUCCAAAGCCCAAUUUUUCUGAAGUUGGAUCCCAGGGAAUAAUCUCGGAAAGACGGGCCAGGCGCGUCCUCUGGGCCCACGGAUGUGGGGACAUCGGCGCCACAUUAGAGAGUCAGGAAAGAGAUCCAGUAGGAAAGAUGGACAGCUUGCACGGAAUCCAGACUUUGGGCAACGGAGGCGGGGCUUUGCCAGGGAAGGCUGCUUCACACAGUCCCGGGCCCCGGGGACAAGCUGGCAAAGCAUCCCUCAGCUGAGGAGGUACACGAGAGGGCCAUGUCCCAGAAGCCCUGAGAUGCUCCAAGCCCUGGUCUUCAGGGACAGCCAGA